rnacentral:tRNA from 1 species
GGAUAUGGCGAAAUUGGUAGACGCUACGGACUU